rnacentral:misc_RNA from 1 species
CACAGAUCAAGCACUGCUUGGUGUUGGGCCGCCGCACCGCCAUCGCGCGGGGCGGGCCCCAAAUGGGACGGCUACACCUGGCUGGCUCCCGGGCAGAGUAGAAAUCACGAUGCCCGCGUGGACCGGAGGUGUCACGCCGCUAGAAACAGAAGCGGCGGGCGCGAGAGCCCCGCUCACACAA